GCCAGUGUGGUGUAGUGCUUUUAAGUGUUGAACUACAACUCUAGAGACCAAGGUUCAAAUCCCUGCCUGGCA